rnacentral:rRNA from 1 species
AGCGAACGCUGGUGGCAGGCUUAACACAUGCAAGUCGAACGCCCCGCAAGGGGAGUGGCAGACGGGUGAGUAACACGUGGGAACGUACCCUUUGGUUCGGAAUAACUUGGGGAAACUCAAGCUAAUACCGGAUAAGCCCUUAUGGGGAAAGGUUUACUGCCGAAGGAUCGGCCCGCGUCUGAUUAGCUAGUUGGUGGGGUAAUGGCUCACCAAAGCGACGAUCAGUAGCUGGUCUGAGAGGAUGAUCAGCCACACUGGGACUGAGACACGGCCCAGACUCCUACGGGAGGCAGCAGUGGGGAAUAUUGGACAAUGGGGGCAACCCUGAUCCAGCCAUGCCGCGUGAGUGAUGAAGGCCUUAGGGUUGUAAAGCUCUUUUACCCGGGACGAUAAUGACUGUACCGGGAGAAUAAGCCCCGGCUAACUUCGUGCCAGCCGCCGCGGUAA